AUGAGCGGCGGAGGAGGGGGAGGGAGGGGGCCGGCGGCGGGACCGGUGCCGGCGUCCGCGAGGAAGCUGGUGCAGGGGCUCAAGGAGAUCGUGAGCCGCUCCGACUCAGAGAUCUACGCGGCGCUGCGCGACUGCGGCAUGGACCCUGACGAGGCGGUCAGCCGCCUCCUCUCCCAAGAUACUUUUCAAGAGGUAAAGAACAAGCGCGACAAGAAAAAGGAGGUGAAUAAAGGUACACCUGAGCCAAGAUCCCGAGGAGCAAAUAACUCAAACAGUCGUGCUGCUAGAGUUGGCACAGAUCGUACUAACCGAAGCAGUUCAGUUCAGUCUGUAUCCGGCGGAGUUGAUAACGUGGCUUCAAGGUCAUCGAUAUUGGGACCUGGUGUUCCAUCAACCAAUUCCACUCAGAAGCCAACAGUUCCGAGUUCCUUUGCAAACAAGGACGUGGUUCCUGAUGGAUUAUGCGGAGCAUCACAAUCAUCGUCAGGAUUUCAGCAGAAUUGGUGUGGGGUGCCUGGUCAGAUGUCAAUGGCUGAUAUAGUUAAAAUGGGCAGACCUCAAGGAAGGUCUUCUAGCAAGUCUAUGGCUACGGCAGACAAAGCAUUUGCUGGUCAAAACCCAUCUUUGUCAAAUGAAACCAACCAUAACACAAAACAAUCCGCAAGCAGAGUCGCCCCGACAACAUUUGACCAAGGAUUUCCAGCUCUUCCAGAUCCCAUUCCUCAAGUUAUAAAUUCAAAUCACACUUCGGCAGACAGCCACCAAACACAUGAAAGUGUUUGGUUUCCACAGGAUGGACCACCAUCACAAAGUCAAUUCACAGCCCCUGAGCCAUCUGGUGGCCCAUUAUCAUUUGUGGCAUCAUUGGAGUCAUCAGUGCUGGUUGCUGAUGCCGUUAACUUGCAUGAGAAGUCUCACACAGAAGAUAACACUUCAAUUGUAAAGCAGACAGCAAUACCUUCUGAGAGACACUUGGAAGUUCUUCACGACCAAGUUCGAUUCGGUGAUGAAUUGUUGCAGAACUCAAGUACAUACCAAUCUCAAAUGCAUUCAUUUGCCGAUGAAGUUGAGGUUUCCAACGUUGAUGUGGACUCAGCUGCAACGAACUUUCAGCAUCUAAGCUUGCAAAACGAAGAUCUAGCAGCAGCUAAUUCUGCUGAUGAUAAUCCAGCGGUUAUAAUCCCCGAUCAUCUACAACUUGAAAAUACAGACUGCGCACAUCUGAGCUUUGGUAGUUUUGAAUCUGGUGCCUUCUCUGGGUUGCUUCCAUCCAAGGUCCCUAAAUAUAGUGUGGAAGAGGUGCCCAACUCAGAUGAAACUCCAGCAGUUGAUCAAAUAGAUGUCAGGAAUCAAGAUUAUUAUGACAAUGGUGCUCUACAGUCAUCAGCAAAUGAGGAUGUUGAAACCAGAAUAGGUACCAACAUUGAGAAUACUGAUGUCCCUUCAGUUUCGCAGCCUGAUAUACUGAUGCAAGGUGCUCUAGAUGUGUCUGGUCUUCAGUAUAACCCGCCAUCAGUUUCGGAUCAUGUGUAUCCGAACACAACACAGCCAAGUAUAAUGGAGAGCCAACAAGGAAACGCUCAAGCACAACAUCUUUCCCAUUUUUCAAGCUUGCUGGCACAGCAAGCUAACACUCUGCAAAGCAACUUCUUGGGGUCAAAUCUUACCCAGCACCGGGAUUUUGACUUUUCACCAUUUUUAUCAGCACAGUCAGCUAUGAAAUAUAACCCAGCUGUGCCAACUACCAGUUACCCAAUCUCCAUGCAGGAGAAUUUAAACCAAGGGGGGUUCUCCAACACUCAAUCUACACAAAAUCCUCCCAGUACGAGCAUUCCGUCAGGGCUACCUCAACCUCAGCAAUUAUCUUUACAUCCAUACUCUCAGCCAACUCUACCCCUGGGGCCUUUUGCCAGUUUAGUCGGCUAUCCAUACUUGCCUCAAAACUACUAUGUACCACCAACAGCCUUCCAGCAAGCGUAUUCAAGUAAUGGACCUUUCCAUCAAUCUGGUGGUGGUGGUGCUGCUGUGCCUGGAUCUGCUAUGAAAUACUCGAUGCCGCAGUACAAGAGUGGCCUUCCUGUCAUGAGCCCACCACAGCAUUCAUCAGCAGUCUCUGGUUAUGGAGGCUUUGGCAGCUCAAGUAAUAUACCGAAUUUUGGCCAAAACCAGAGUGCCUCCCCUGCCACGACUAUGGGGAUUGAUGAAGCUUUAAGUUCACAGUUGAAAGAGGCCAAUCACUACAUGGCCUUACAGCAGAGCGACAACUCAGCGAUGUGGCUUCAUGGAGCUGCUGGUUCAAGAGCUGUUUCAGCUGUUCCACCUGGUAACUUUUAUGGCUUCCAGGGCCAGAGCGCGCAGGGUGGCUUCCGUGAGGUGCAGCAGCCCUCUCAGUACGGUGGUCUUGGGUACCCGAGCUUUUACCAGUCGCAGAAUGGUAUGCAGCAGGAGCACCCGCAGAACCCUGCGGAGGGAAGCCUGAACAGCUCCCAGACUGCCCCGUCUCAGCCAUCACACCAGAUGUGGCAGCACAGCUACUAA
rnacentral:rRNA from 1 species